AGCCGGGUGGUGUAGCGGCCAAGCAUCACGGGCUUUGGCCCCGUGGACGGCGGUUCAAAUCCGCCCCCGGCUA
rnacentral:tRNA from 1 species